rnacentral:rRNA from 1 species
CCUGCGGAAGGAUCAUUACAGAGUUCAUGCCCUCACGGGUAGAUCUCCCACCCUUGAAUAUUAUACCUUCGUUGCUUUGGCAGGCCGUGGAAACACCAGAGGCUCCGGCUGAUGCGUGCCUGCCAGAGGAAACAAACUCUGUUUUUAGUGAUGUCUGAGUACUAUAUAAUAGUUAAAACUUUCAACAACGGAUCUCUUGGUUCUGGCAUCGAUGAAGAACGCAGCGAAAUGCGAUAAGUAAUGUGAAUUGCAGAAUUCAGUGAAUCAUCGAAUCUUUGAACGCACAUUGCGCCCCGUGGUAUUCCGCGGGGCAUGCCUGUUCGAGCGUCAUUUCAACCCAUCAAGCUUCGGCUUGGUCUUGGGGCCUGCGGUUUCGCAGCCUCUAAACCCAGUGGCGGUGCUAUUGAGCUCUGAGCGUAGUAAUUUCUCUCGCUAUAGAGUCUCGGUGGUGACUUGCCAACAACCCCCAAUUUUUAUCAGGUUGACCUCGGAUCAGGUAGGGAUACCCGCUGAACUUAAGCAUAUCAAUAAGCGGAGGA